rnacentral:rRNA from 1 species
GACGAACGCUGGCGGCGUGCUUAACACAUGCAAGUCGAGCGGUAAGGCCCUUUCGGGGGUACACGAGCGGCGAACGGGUGAGUAACACGUGGGUGACCUGCCCUCAGCUCUGGGAUAAGCCUGGGAAACUGGGUCUAAUACCGGAUAUGACUCCAUGACGCAUGUUGUGGGGUGGAAAGCCUUGUGCGGCUGAGGAUGGGCCCGCGGCCUAUCAGCUUGUUGGUGGGGUGANGGCCUACCAAGGCGACGACGGGUGGCCGGCCUGAGAGGGCGACCGGCCACACUGGGACUGAGACACGGCCCAGACUCCUACGGGAGGCAGCAGUGGGGAAUCUUGCGCAAUGGGCGAAAGCCUGACGCAGCGACGCCGCGUGAGGGAUGACGGCCUGG